rnacentral:misc_RNA from 1 species
UUAACUAUUAUAUAGUACUCAGACGACACUAAUAUUCAGAGUUUGGGGUCCUCUGGCGGACGCACACUAGCCGAAGCCGGUGGUCGACAGAACCGAACGGUCCGCCAAAGCAACAAAGGUAAUAAUAACACAGGGUGGGAGAUCUACCCGUAAGGGCAAGAACUCUAUAAUGAUCCCUCCGCAGGUUCACCUACGGAGA